UCAGGCCUAACACAUGCAAGUCGUACGAGGUGUAAAUAAUUCACUUGUGAAUUGUUUAUUACUACAGUGGCGCACGGGUGAGUAACACGUAAGAACCUGCCUUUUGGAGGGGGAUAACAUAGGGAAACCUUUGCUAAUACCCCAUAAAGCUGAGGAGCUAAAUCGCAUUUGCGGCCAAGAGAGGGGCUUGCGCCUGAUUAGCUAGUUGGGGAGGUAAUGGCUUCCCAAGGCCACGAUCAGUAGUUGGUCUGAGAGGAUGAUCAGCCACACUGGGACUGAGACACGGCCCAGACUCCUACGGGAGGCAGCAGUGAGGAAUUUUCCGCAAUGGGCGAAAGCCUGACGGAGCAAUACCGCGUGAAGGAAGAAGGAUCGUGGUCUGUAAACUUC
rnacentral:rRNA from 1 species